UUUCGAUCUUAAAUUUAAAUUUAAAGUUUAAUAAUUUUAAAAAUAGAAUCUCAAAUUUAAAUUAUAACCCUCAAACAUUAAAUCUUAAAUCUAUACCCUAAAUAUAAUACCCUAAACCCCAAACUUAAAUCUUACAUACAAAGUCAUAAAUCUAUUUUUUAAUUUAUAAUAUAAAUUUUAAACUUAGACUCCAAAUAUAUUCUAAAACUCAAACCAUAUACUUAAUUAUAAAUCUUAACCCUAAACCCUAAACCACAUACUUCAUAUUAACCUACAUCAUAAAUCCUAAUUUACAAAUUUCAAAAAUUUAAAUAUAGGUUUUGGAAUUUAGACUUUGAGUAUAUAUUCCAAACCAUAUACAAUAACUCUAAAUCUUAUACACCAAAUCAUAAAAUCCAAACAUCAAAUUUAACCUUUUCAAAUUUAAACACCAAAACCUAAACAUAGAUACUAAUAAAAAAAAUUCAAAUUGUAUUCUCAAAUUUUACUCUAAACCCCAAACCUAAGACUCCAAAUAAACUUUAAUCAUGAACAUUAACCUUAUAUUUAAAACUUUUAAAUUAGACUAAACUUUUAACUUUAAUCAUAGUCAUUAAUCAAAUCCUAUAUUAUAAAUCUAUUAUUUAAAUUUAAAUUCAUUUGUUUAAACCCCAUAUAAACCCAUUCAUAUUUAAGUGAAUUAGAAGCUUAUUUGAUGACCAAAGAAAAAGAAUUAACAGCUUAUUUCUGAUUAGACCAAAAAGUGAGGCGUGGAUCACCAUUUUUCGAAUCUCUGCCGUUGGUAAUAUUAAUCUUACGGCUCAGAUUAAUUCACUAUUAAUAUUUUAUGUUUGUUUUAUCUCUUUCUUCCUUUCUUCUUCCACACGAUUCUAUACUUCUUAUUUUCUUCUUCUGUACCUCUUCGAUCUCCUCAUCUAAUCUCAUCUCUCUUAUCCUCUUCCCAUCUCUCUUUCUCCUCUGCUCAUCUUUCAUUUACUUUUCUUCUUUCAAGCAAAUGGAUCUGAACGAAGAGGAUUACCACCGUCAUGCUUCUCACCACCAUGCUCCUUUCUAUUCGGUUUCGCCCUUCACCACCACCACCACCGCACGCUCGUCAACACCACCACCAGUCACGAAAGUGGAGGAGGCACAGGAUUGAUGAAUGAGGCACAGGAGAUUGAUGGAGGAGGUAGCAGUGGUGGGUCAUGAGCAGAGCCGGCUUGAAUGUUGAAGACGAAGAAGCUCGGUGAGGAGGCGGCAGGCGGCGGAGAAUAUACAUUAGGUUUAGAUUAGGGUUAGGUAUA